AAGAAGCUCUCACGACUCUGGCUCACGUGGGAAGACCAGCGACGGACGUACAUGAAGCGGAUAUUUAUAAAUUCGGCUUCAAACUCGCUCGAGAAAUCGCGGAGUUGCGCGGCGUAUGCGCGCUAGCUAUGCAAAAACGGCGCAAGGUGUGGGCCAAGGUCGCGAUGGCCACGCGGGACCUCGAGGAGGAUAUGUUCGACAGCCUCGCGGGAUACGAGGAGGUCACGUUCCGCAGGAAACACGCACACGCAGGUAAUUACGAUUGUGAUUAACAUAGAUAAUGAGUUAUAUUGUUAUUCUAAUGAGUUUCACAUCCAUCUUCCCUUCGAUAGGCUAUGACU